UACGUAGGGUGCGAGCGUUGUCCGGAUUUAUUGGGCGUAAAGGGUGCGUAGGCGGCAUGAUAAGUUAUUGGCGGGAAACCGAGGCUCAACCUCGUGGAAACUAAUAAUACUGUUUUGCUUGAGUACAGGAGAGGUUAACGGAACUCCAUGUGGAGCGGUAAAAUGUGUAGAUAUAUGGAAGAACAUCAAUAACGGCGAAGGCAGUUAACUAUUCUGUUACUGACGUUGAGGCACGAAAGCGUGGGGAGCAAAACGG
rnacentral:rRNA from 1 species